UACGAAGGGGGCUAGCGUUGUUCGGAAUCACUGGGCGUAAAGGGCGCGUAGGCGGCCGAUUAAGUCGGGGGUGAAAGCCUGUGGCUCAACCACAGAAUUGCCUUCGAUACUGUAUGGCUUGAGACCGGAAGAGGUAAGUGGAACUGCGAGUGUAGAGGUGAAAUUCGUAGAUAUUCGGAGGAACACCAGUGGCGAAGGCGGCUCACUGGUCCAUUACUGACGCUGAGGUGCGAAAGCGUGGGGAGCAAACAGG
rnacentral:rRNA from 1 species